GACGAACGCUGGCGGCAUGCCUAAUACAUGCAAGUCGAGCGAAUGAUGAAGAAGCUUGCUUCUUCUGAUUUAGCGGCGGACGGGUGAGUAACACGUGGGCAACCUGCCCUGUAGAUUGGGAUAACUCCGGGAAACCGGGGCUAAUACCGAAUAAUCCAUUUCCUCUCAUGGGGAAAUGUUAAAAGACGGUUUCGGCUGUCACUACAGGAUGGGCCCGCGGCGCAUUAGCUAGUUGGUGAGGUAACGGCUCACCAAGGCGACGAUGCGUAGCCGACCUGAGAGGGUGAUCGGCCACACUGGGACUGAGACACGGGCCCAGACUCCUACGGGAGGCAGCAGUAGGGAAUCUUCCACAAUGGACGAAAGUCUGAUGGAGCAAUGCCGCGUGAGUGAAGAAGGUUUUCGGAUACGUAAACUCUGUUGUGAGGGAAGAACAAGUACGAGAGUAACUGCUCGUACCUUGACGGUACCUCAUUAG
rnacentral:rRNA from 1 species